rnacentral:tRNA from 1 species
GUUCCCGUAGCUCAAUCGGUAGAGCGCUGGUCUCCAAAACCAGAGGCUGCAGACUCGGUCCCUGCCGGGAAUGCCA